AUUGUCGAGAGGUGAAAUUUAGUUGAAGAAGAAAACAAUUACUUAAAGGGAAAAAUAAAAAAAUUGAGGAGGAGAAGAUGAUAUUGGAGUUGCAUGUUGCGGAUGUCGUCGAUAAUCACAAGCUCAAGAUGGAUGCAAUGCGGUUGAAGAUUAGAAAGAUUAGAAAAUAUGCCGUUCAUACCGAGGCUUGGUAUCAUUAUGCCGUUGGAUCAAUUGUUACCUUGGUUGUGAUUAUGAUCGCAUUUGUUGUUGCAUUGAAAGGUUUUACAUAGUUUUAAUGUAUGGUUUAACUAGAUGCUCUGGAGAGCUAUAUGUUGUUCAAUGAGAACUAUGUAUGUACUUUGUUUUUAAUGUGAUGAUGAACUUCUAUUAAUUUGGUCAUUUAUCUAUCCAUGUGAAUCUGUAAUGGUUUUUGACACACAUAAUUAUAUAUAAUGCACGCAGUGCAUCUAGUUUUUGUCGUAACCCUCUCAACUUUUUUGCACAUGCUAUGUGGGUGAAAUGAUGAUACCAUGCCAACUUUCAACCUUUUCAGAGUUCAUUUGAAAUGCUUUUGAAUUUCAGGGUCUUAUAGCUCAAAAAAUCAGUAAAUGCAUGAAAAAUAACAAAUGAAGUCAGAAAGGGUUGAAAAUUGAUGAUGUGGCUGUGAAUGGUACAUUUUGAACACACAAAAAGUCUGGAGUUCAAAUAAGUUCAAAAAAAUGAAAUCCCUUUGUAACAGAUGAGUUUCCCUAUGAAAUCGUGAUACUUCGAAAGAGAUUGUCCGUUUUGUACACAAAGUGCAUCUAGUUUUUGCCAUAACCCUCUCAACUUUUUUGCACAUGCUAUGUGGGUGAAUGAUGAUACCAUGCCAACUUUCAACCUUUUCAGAGUUCAUUUGAAAUGCUUUUGAAUUUCAGGGUCUUAUAGCUCAAAAAAAUCAGUAAAUGCAUUCAAAAUAACAAAUGAAGUCAGAAAGGGUUGAAAAUUGAUGAUGUGGCUUUGAAUGGUGCAUUUUGAACACACAAAAAGUCUGGAGUUCAAAUAAGUUCAAAAAAAUGACAUAUCAGCGGAGAAGCAGCGCAGCAAGGGACGUUCGUUCCAGACAGAGAGAACGACGAGCUCACAAUGGCCCUCGGGAAUCCUGAGCACCCUGGACGGACACGAGGCACGCCAGGCUCCGUUCUGUACAAGGUUGGGUUUUCGAACACAGGCGGUUACAAAUGCCAGGAGAGGAGGAAGAAAGUGGAGUAGACCCAACUGCAGGCGCUGCACGCAAGGGUACAAGCGAUAGAGGAACGAGAAGCCGCUCGCAGCAAGCGACCUGCCAAAGCUACCCCCGAAGCUACCCCGCCAUCUCAGCGGAGAAGCAGCGUGGCUUCCACCGAGCUGCUUCAGCUGGAGCCUGUCUUCACGGCUCCUGCUAGCUACCCCGUGGAUGCUAUCAUGGAGUCUCAACAUUGCCACCUUAUGACGCAAUGGCAGAACUUCAAAGUCAAGGCGAUUGUCGGCUCUGUUCGACCUCCUGAACCCGGCGCAACUUUUCACUGCCAUCCAAUUCUAGAAGGAUAUGCUAGGGUGACGGUGGACGAAAUAACGGAGGGAUUUAAGGACCUUGAGCUUGACCACCCUACCGGUGAAGGGGAGACUCGGCUGGGUUCUGCUCUGAAGACUCCAUGCCUAUGGCGGAAGGAGCUCAUCAACCUUCCGAACUGGACGCCUCCGCCUCCUCCUCCUCCUCCUCCUCCAGCGAGUCAGUGUAGGGGAUCGUAGCAGAACUUUAAAAUUUUCUACGCAUCACCAAGAUCCAUCUAUGGAGUUUACUAGCAACGAGAAGGAAGGAGUGCAUCUACAUACCCUUGUAGAUCGCGAGCGGAAGCGUUCAAGUGAACGGGGUUGAUGGAGUCGUACUCGUCGUGAUCCAAAUCACCGAUGACCGAGCGCCGAACGGACGACACCUCCGCAUUCAACACACGUAGGGAGCAGCGAAGUCUCCUCCUUCUUGAUCCAGCAAGGGGGAAGGAGAGGUUGAUGGAGAUCCAGCAGCACGACGGCGUGGUGGUGGAAGUAGCGGGGAUCCCGGCAGGGCUUCGCCAAGCGCAAGCGGGAGGGAGAGGUGUCACGGGAGGGAGAGGGAGGCGCCAGGGGCUAGGUUACUGCUGCCCUCCCUCCCCCCCACUAUAUAUAGGGGUCCUGGGGGGGCGCCGGACCCCUGGAGAUCCCAUCUGAGGGGGGCGGCGGCCAAGGGGGUGGCUUGCCCCCCAAGCCAAGUGGGGCGCCCCCCACCCCCAGGGUUUCCAACCCUAGGCGCAGGGGAGGCCCAAGGGGGGCGCACCAGCCCACCAGUGGCUGGUUCCCCUCCCCACUUCAGCCCAUGGGGCCCUCCGGGACAGGUGGCCCCACCCGGUGGACCCCGGGACCCUUCCGGUGGUCCCGGUACAAUACCGAUAACCCCCAAAACUUUCCCGAUGGCCGAAACUGGACUUCCUAUAUAUAAUUCUUCACCUCCGGACCAUUCCGGAACUCCUCGUGACGUCCGGGAUCUCAUCCGGGACUCCGAACAACUUUCGGGUUUCCGCAUACUAAUAUCUCUACAACCCUAGCGUCACUGAACCUUAAGUGUGUAGACCCUACGGGUUCGGGAGACAUGCAGACAUGACCGAGACGACUCUCCGGUCAAUAACCAACAGCGGGAUCUGGAUACCCAUGUUGGCUCCCACAUGUUCCACGAUGAUCUCAUCGGAUGAACCACGAUGUCGAGGAUUCAAUCAAUCCCGUAUACAAUUCCCUUUGUCAAUCGGUACGUUACUUGCCCAAGAUUCGAUCGUCGGUAUCCCAAUACCUCGUUCAAUCUUGUUACCGGCAAGUCACUUUACUCGUACCGUAAUGCAUGAUCCCGUGACCAGACACUUGGUCACAUUGAGCUCAUUAUGAUGAUGCAUUACCGAGUGGGCCCAGAGAUACCUCUCCAUCAUACGGAGUGACAAAUCCCAGUCUCGAUCCGUGCCAACCCAACAGACACUUUCGGAGAUACCCGUACUGCACCUUUAUAGUCACCCAGUUACGUUGUGACGUUUGGUACACCGAAAGCACUCCUACAGUAUCCGGGAGUUGCACGAUCUCAUGGUCUAAGGAAAUGAUACUUGACAUUGGAAAAGCUCUAGCAAACGAACUACACGAUCUUUGUGCUAUGCUUAGGAUUGGGUCUUGUCCAUCACAUCAUUCUCCUAAUGAUGUGAUCCCGUUAUCAAUGACAUCCAAUGUCCAUAGUCAGGAAACCAUGACUAUCUGUUGAUCAACGAGCUAGUCAACUAGAGGCUCACUAGGGACAUGUUGUGGUCUAUGUAUUCACACAUGUAUUACGAUUUCCGGAUAACACAAUUAUAGCAUGAACAAUAGACAAUUAUCAUGAACAAGGAAAUAUAAUAAUAACCAUUUUAUUAUUGCCUCUAGGGCAUAUUUCCAACAGUCUCCCACUUGCACUAGAGUCAAUAAUCUAGUUACAUUGUGAUUAAUCAAACACCCAUAGAGUUCUGGUGUUGAUCCUGUUUUGCUCUAGGGAGAGGUUUAGUCAACGGAUCUGCUACAUUCAGGUCCGUAUGUACUUUACAAAUAUCUAUGUCUCCAUUUUGAACACUUUCACGAAUGGAGUUGAAGCGACGCUUGAUAUGCCUGGUCUUCCUGUGAAACCUGGGCUCCUUGGCAAGGGCAAUAGCUCCAGUGUUGUCACAGAAGAGAGUCAUCGGGCCCGACGCAUUGGGAAUCACCCCUAGGUCGGUAAUGAACUCCUACAUCCAGAUUGCUUCUUGCGCUGCCUCUGAGGCCGCCAUGUACUCCGCUUCACAUGUAGAUCCCGCCACGACGCUUUGCUUGCAACUGCACCAGCUUACUGCCCCUCCAUUCAAAAUAUACACGUAUCCGGUUUGUGACUUCGAGUCAUCCAGAUCUGUGUCGAAGCUAGCGUCGACGUAACCCUUUACGACGAGCUCUUCAUCACCUCCAUAAACGAGAAACAUAUCCUUAGUCCUCUUCAGGUACUUCAGGAUAUUCUUGACCGUUGUCCAGUGUUCCAUGCCGGGAUUACUUUGGUACCUUCCUACCAAACUUACGGCAAGGUUUACAUCAGGUCUGGUACACAGCAUAGCAUACAUAAUAGACCCUAUGGCUGAGGCAUAGGGGAUGACACUCAUCUUUUCUCUAUCUUCUGCCGUGGUCGGGCAUUGAGCCGUGCUCAAUUGCACACCUUGCAAUACAGGCAAGAACCCCUUCUUGGACUGAUCCAUAUUGAACGGGUACGUACUCUGUGAAAGACCAAUGAGGCGUCUUGAUCUAUCUCUAUAGAUCUUGAUGCCUAAUAUAUAAGCAGCUUCUCCAAGGUCCUUCAUUGAAAAACACUUAUUCAAGUAGGCCUUUAUACUUUCCAAGAAUUCUAUAUCAUUUCCCAUCAAUAGUAUGUCAUCCACAUAUAAUAAUAGAAAUGCUACAGAGCUCCCACUCACUUUCUUGUAAACACAGGCUUCUCCAUAAGUCUGUGUAAACCCAAACGCUUUGAUCAUCUCAUCAAAUCGAAUGUUCCAACUCCGAGAUGCUUGCACCAGCCCAUAGAUGGAGCGCUGGAGCUUGCAUACCUUGUUAGCAUUCUUAGGAUCGACAAAACCUUCCGGCUGCAUCAUAUACAAUUCUUCCUUAAGAAAGCCGUUAAGGAAUGCCGUUUUGACGUCCAUUUGCCAUAUCUCAUAAUCAUAGAAUGCUGCAAUUGCUAACAUGAUUCGGACGGACUUCAGCUUCGCUACGGGUGAGAAAGUCUCAUCGUAGUCAACCCCUUGAACUUGUCGAUAACCCUUAGCGACAAGUCGAGCCUUAUAGAUGGUCACAUUACCAUCCGCGUCUGUCUUCUUCUUAAAGAUCCAUUUAUUUUCUAUGGCUCGCCGAUCAUCGGGCAAGUCAGUCAAAGUCCAUACUUCAUUUUCAUACAUGGAUCCUAUCUCGGAUUUCUUGGCUUCUAGCCAUUUGUCGGAAUCCGGGCCCGCCAUCGCUUCUUCAUAGUUCGAAGGUUCACCGUUGUCUAACAACAUGAUUUCCAUGACAGGGUUGCCGUACCACUCUGGUGCAGAACGUGUCCUUGUGGACCUACGAAGUUCAGCAGUAACUUGAUCUGAAGCUUCAUGAUCAUCAUCAUUAACUUCCUCCCCAGUCGGUGCAGGCACCACAGGAACAUCUUCCCGCGCUGCGCUACUUUCCGGUUCGGAAGGGGUGACUAUCACCUCAUCAAGUUCCACUUUCCUCCCACUCACUUCUUUCGAGAGAAACUCUUUCUCCAGAAAGGACCCAUUCUUGGCAACAAAGAUCUUGCCUUCGGAUCUGAGGUAGAAGGUAUACCCAAUGGUUUCCUUAGGGUAUCCUAUGAAGACGCAUUUUUCCGACUUGGGUUCGAGCUUUUCAGGUUGAAGUUUCUUGACAUAAGCAUGGCAUCCCCAAACUUCUAGAAAUGACAGCUUAGGUUUCUUCCCAAACCAUAAUUCAUACGGUGUCGUCUCAAUGGAUUUCGACGGAGCCCUAUUUAAAGUGAAUGCGCCAGUCUCUAAAGCAUAGCCCCAAAAUGAGAGCGGUAGAUCGGUAAGAGACAUCAUAGAUCGCACCAUAUCCAAUAGAGUGCGAUUACGACGUUCGGACACACCAUUUCGCUGAGGUGUUCCAGGCGGCGUGAGUUGUGAAACUAUUCCACAUUUCCUUAAGUGUGUGCCAAAUUCGUGACUUAAAUAUUCCCCUCCACGAUCUGAUCGUAGGAACUUUAUUUUUCUGUCACGUUGAUUCUCAACCUCACUCUGAAAUUCCUUGAACUUUUCAAAGGUCUCAGACUUGUGUUUCAUUAGGUAGACAUACCCAUAUCUACUCAAGUCAUCAGUGAGAGUGAGAACAUAACGAUAUCCUCCGCGAGCCUCAACACUCAUUGGACCGCACACAUCGGUAUGUAUGAUUUCCAAUAAGUUGGUUGCUCGCUCCAUUGUUCCGGAGAACGGAGUCUUGGUCAUCUUACCCAUGAGGCAUGGUUCGCACGUGUCAAAUAAUUCGUAAUCAAGAGACUCCAAAAGUCCAUCUGCAUGAAGCUUCUUCAUGCGUUUGACACCAAUGUGACCAAGGCGGCAGUGCCACAAGUAUGUGGGACUAUCGUUAUCAACUUUACAUCUUUUGGUAUUCACACUAUGAAUAUGUGUAACAUCACGUUCGAGAUUCAUUAAGAAUAAACCAUUGACCAGCGGGGCAUGACCAUAAAACAUAUCUCUCAUAUAAAUAGAACAACCAUUAUUCUCGGAUUUAAAUGAGUAGCCAUCUCGAAUUAAACGAGAUCCUGAUACAAUGUUCAUGCUCAAAGCUGGCACUAAAUAACAAUUGUUGAGGUUUAAAACUAAUCCCGUAGGUAAAUGUAGAGGCAGCGUGCCGACGGUGAUCACAUCGACCUUGGAACCAUUCCCGACGCGCAUCGUCACCUCGUCCUUCGCCAGUCUCCGCUUAUUCCGCAACUCCUGUUUUGAGUUACAAAUAUGAGCAACCGCACCGGUAUCAAAUACCCAGGAGCUACUACGAGUACUGGUAAGGUACACAUCAAUUACAUGUAUAUCACAUAUACCUUUGGUGUUGCCGGCCUUCUUGUCCGCUAAGUAUUUGGGGCAGUUCCGCUUCCAGUGACCACUUCCCUUGCAAUAAAAGCACUCAGUCUCAGGCUUGGGUCCAUUCUUUGACUUCUUCCCGGCAACUGGCUUACCGGGCGCGGCAACUCCCUUGCCGUCCUUCUUGAAGUUCUUCUUACCCUUGCCUUUCUUGAACUUAGUGGUUUUAUUCACCAUCAACACUUGAUGUUCCUUUUUGAUCUCCACCUCCGCUGAUUUCAGCAUUGAAUAUACCUCAGGAAUGGUCUUUUCCAUCCCCUGCAUAUUGAAGUUCAUCACAAAGCUCUUGUAGCUUGGUGGAAGCGACUGAAGGAUUCUGUCAAUGAUCGCGUCAUCCGGGAGAUUAACUCCCAGCUGAGACAAGCGGUUGUGUAACCCAGACAUUUUGAGUAUGUGCUCACUGACAGAACUAUUUUCCUCCAUUUUACAACUGAAGAACUUGUCGGAGACUUCAUAUCUCUCAACCCGGGCAUGAGCUUGGAAAACCAUUUUCAGCUCUUCGAACAUCUCAUAUGCUCCAUGUUUCUCAAAACGCUUUUGGAGCCCCGGUUCUAAGCUGUAAAGCAUGCCGCACUGAACGAGGGAGUAAUCAUCAGCACGUGAUUGCCAAGCGUUCAUAACGUCUUGGUUCUCUGGGAUGGGUGCUUCACCUAGCGGUGCUUCUAGGACAUAAUCUUUCUUGGCAGCUAUGAGGAUGAUCCUCAGGUUCCGGACCCAGUCCGUAUAGUUGCUGCCAUCAUCUUUCAGCUUGGUUUUCUCUAGGAACGCGUUGAAGUUGAGGGCAACGUGGGCCAUUUGAUCUACAAGACAUAUUGUAAAGAUUUUAGACUAAAUUCAUGAUAAUUAAGUUCAUCUAAUCAAAUUAUUCAAUGAACUCCCACUCAGAUAGACAUCCCUCUAGUCAUCUAAGUGAAACAUGAUCCGAGUCAACUAGGCCGUGUCCGAUCAUCACGUGAGACGGACUAGUCAAGAUCGGUGAAUAUCUUCAUGUUGAUCGUAUCUUCUAUACGACUCAUGCUCGACCUUUCGGUCUUCCGUGUUCCGAGGCCAUGUCUGUACAUGCUAGGCUCGUCAAGUCAACCUAAUUGUAUUGCGUGUGUUCCGAGGCCAUGUCUGUACAUGCUAGGCUCGUCAACACCCGUUGUAUGUGAAUGUUAGAAUCUAUCACACCCGAUCAUCACGUGGUGCUUCGAAACAACGAACCUUCGCAACGGUGCACAGUUAGGGGGAACACUUUCUUGAAAUUAUUAUAAGGGAUCAUCUUACUUACUACCGUCGUACUAAGCAAAUAAGAUGUAAAACAUGAUAAACAUCACAUGCAAUCAAAUAGUGACAUGAUAUGGCCAAUAUCAUUUUGCUCCUUUGAUCUCCAUCUUCGGGGCGCCAUGAUCAUCUUCGUCACCGGCAUGACACCAUGAUCUCCAUCAUCAUGUCUUCAUGAAGUUGUCACGCCAACGAUUACUUCUACUUCUAUGGCUAACGCGUUUAGCAAUAAAGUAAAGUAAUUUACAUGGCGUUAUUCAAUGACACGCAGGUCAUACAAAAAAUAAAGACAACUCCUAUGGCUCCUGCUGGUUGUCAUACUCAUCGACAUGCAAGUCGUGAUUCCUAUUACAAGAAUAUGAUCAAUCUCAUACAUCACAUAUAUCAUUCAUCACAUCUUCUGGCCAUAUCACAUCACAAGGCACAUGCUGCAAAAACAAGUUAGACGUCCUCUAAUUGUUGUUGCAAGUUUUUACGUGGCUUCUAUAGGUUUCUAGCAAGAACGUUUCUUACCUACGUAAAACCACAACGUGAUAUGCCAAUUUCUAUUUACCCUUCAUAAGGACCCUUUUCAUCGAAUCCGUUCCGACUAAAGUGGGAGAGACAGACACCCGCUAGCCACCUUAUGCAACUAGUGCAUGUCAGUCGGUGGAACCUGUCUCACGUAAGCAUACGUGUAAGGUCGGUCCGGGCCGCUUCAUCCCACAAUACCGCCGAAACAAGAUAAGACUAGUAGUGGCAAGAAAAAUUGACAACAUCUACGCCCACAACUGCUUUGUGUUCUACUCAUGCAUAGAAACUACGCAUAGGCCUGGCUCUGAUACCACUGUAGGGGAUCGUAGCAGAACUUUAAAAUUUUCUACGCAUCACCAAGAUCCAUCUAUGGAGUUUACUAGCAACGAGAAGGAAGGAGUGCAUCUACAUACCCUUGUAGAUCACGAGCGGAAGCGUUCAAGUGAACGGGGUUGAUGGAGUCGUACUCGUCGUGAUCCAAAUCACCGAUGACCGGGCGCCGAACGGACGGCACCUCCGCGUUCAACACACGUACGGAGCAGCGACGUCUCCUCCUUCUUGAUCCAGCAAGGGGGAAGGAGAGGUUAAUGGAGAUCCAGCAGCACGACGACGUGGUGGUGGAAGUAGCGGGGAUCCCGGCAGGGCUUCGCCAAGCGCAAGCGGGAGGGAGGCGCCAGGGGCUAGGUUACUGCUGCCCUCCCUCCCCCCACUAUAUAUAGGGGUCCUGGGGGGCGCCGGCCCCCUGGAGAUCCCAUCUGAGGGGGGCGGCGGCCAAGGGGGUGGCUUGCCCCCCAAGCCAAGUGGGGCGCCCCCCACCCCUAGGGUUUCCAACCCUAGGCGCAGGGGAGGCCCAAGGGGGGCGCACCAGCCCACCAGUGGCUGGUUCCCCUCCCCACUUCAGCCCAUGGGGCCCUCCGGGACAGGUGGCCCCACCCCGUGGACCCCGGGACCCUUCCGGUGGUCCCGGUACAAUACCGAUAACCCCCAAAACUUUCCCGAUGGCCGAAACUGGACUUCCUAUAUAUAAUUCUUCACCUCCGGACCAUUCCGGAACUCCUCGUGACGUCCGGGAUCUCAUCCGGGACUCCGAACAACUUUCGGGUUUCCGCAUACUAAUAUCUCUACAACCCUAGCGUCACCGAACCUUAAGUGUGUAGACCCUACGGGUUCGGGAGACAUGCAGACAUGACCGAGACGACUCUCCGGUCAAUAACCAACAGCGGGAUCUGGAUACCCAUGUUGGCUCCCAUAUGUUCCACGAUGAUCUCAUCGGAUGAACCACGAUGUCGAGGAUUCAAUCAAUCCCGUAUACAAUUCCCUUUGUCAAUCGGUACGUUACUUGCCCGAGAUUCGAUCGUCGGUAUCCCAAUACCUCGUUCAAUCUCGUUACCGGCAAGUCACUUUACUCGUACCGUAAUGCAUGAUCCCGUGACCAGACACUUGGUCACAUUGAGCUCAUUAUGAUGAUGCAUUACCGAGUGGGCCCAGAGAUACCUCUCCAUCAUACGGAGUGACAAAUCCCAGUCUCGAUCCGUGCCAACCCAACAGACACUUUCGGAGAUACCCGUAGUGCACCUUUAUAGUCACCCAGUUACAUUGUGACGUUUGGUACACCGAAAGCACUCCUACAGUAUCCGGGAGUUGCACGAUCUCAUGGUCUAAGGAAAUGAUACUUGACAUUGGAAAAGCUCUAGCAAACGAACUACACGAUCUUUGUGCUAUGCUUAGGAUUGGGUCUUGUCCAUCACAUCAUUCUCCUAAUGAUGUGAUCCCGUUAUCAAUGACAUCCAAUGUCCAUAGUCAGGAAACCAUGACUAUCUGUUGAUCAACGAGCUAGUCAACUAGAGGCUCACUAGGGACAUGUUGUGGUCUAUGUAUUCACACAUGUAUUACGAUUUCCGGAUAACACAAUUAUAGCAUGAACAAUAGACAAUUAUCAUGAAUAAGGAAAUAUAAUAAUAACCAUUUUAUUAUUGCCUCUAGGGCAUAUUUCCAACAGUCAGGGCACUCCGCCUCCUCCUUCGGCAAGUGAUCAGGGCACUCAACCUCCUUCUCCGGUGCGUGGCGGCACUCCGCCUGCGCCGACGCGCCCGAGCAGCCAGCCUCCUCCUUCUCCGCCUCGUCGGCAAGGGUGGAAGAGACCCGCCCCCGCUCCGGCUGCUCCGGCGCGUCGUAGUCCUUCUCCUCCGCCUCGUAAGCAAGGAAAGAAGACAGCCGCAGCCGCUCUGUCUGCUCCGGCGUCUAGCAGUACAGCCAGAGGCAGGAGGCAAUACAGAUUUGGUCCAUCUCUCAAGCCUCUAGAGAAGUUACCAUAAGAGAUGACCGUGGAGGAAAGCAAGAAGAUCGUGGAAGCCGAAGUGAGGGACUACUUUCAAGCGGUGAAAGCAAAGAAACAUCCACCUCCGGAGGAGAAGAUAGAUCCGGUGAAAGCGAAGCGUACUAUCGAUGCCUUGAAGUGAGCACCACCUUCUCCGCCGCAAUCCAACUAUGAUCGCAUUAUUCAAAGGUCAUAUAUCGAAGCGGAGCGGUCGGGAAGUACUAUCAGUGAUCAAAGGUUAGCAGAACGAUGAGCUAGGAAAAAAAUUGCCCAGCUCGGCGAACAAGCGAACCAAUCGUGCCCCCCGCUCAAGGUGUCUAGCGAUAUCGUCGCUAAUCAUCCGAAGAUUUUGCCCAAUACCAAUCUUGGAGAUUACCUGCCCGACGAUGUACAUUAUGAUUUCUUGGAGGUGGACGAACACAAAUACCAUUACAGGAAGCCUCUCGUCAAAGAUGAAAGAUCUCUAACAACGAUGAUGUGAAGAUUCGAUGAUUGGUACAUGAAAACCUGUAGAGAGUCUGGGGGGAUGAAUACUUUGACGCUGAGAGUUAAAGAGGAGCAUGACCUCGUUGGAAUUGAUCUGUUGUCCGUUCCAUUUGAGGAGUUCUUCCAGUUUUCAAUCAAAAGGCCCUCGAUAAAUUAACGGUCACUUGCUACUGUCUGUAAGUACUACUUCUGUCAUUAAGUCUCUAUAUAUAGCUCAGCUCUUUCAUUGCAUGUAUAUAUAAUUACCCUCACUAUAUUAUGCAGAUUGAAAAUCGCCGAAUUGAAGAAAAGACAAAUCGGUAAUAUUGAGUUCAUUAACACAAAUCUCAUAGAUCAAUUUACGGUUGAAUUUCAAGCCAAAGAUACCGAGGCCAACUUGCUACGAUCGUUGGUAAUAAAUCAAAACAAAGAUAUAAUACUCUUUCCUUACAACUUCAAGUGAGUGUUACUGUCUUGUGCAUAUUCGGUUUUCCUUAUUAGUCGAGGUUAUAGUAAUGUAAUUGAUGAGUUAUGCAUGCGUGCGCAGGUUCCACUAUAUUCUCCUAGAGAUUAAGCUUGAGCAGGGACUAGUAACCGUCUUAGACUCGAGAUGAAAAGAUCCCCAGGAGUAUGCGGACAUGACUGAAAUGCUCGAGAAGUAAGUUAAAUCGAUCAUUAUCGCACCAUAUCGGCAACUUUGUUCACUUCCUGAUAUCAAGUAAUUGUUUUCUUUGUCUGGCAGAGUUUGGAAAAAAUUCACCGCAAAAGCUCCGGGAUUGCCGGUGAAGCUGCGAUUUAGACACCCGAAAGUAAGUACUACUAGCUAGUUCCGCGCAUCUCCUAGUGAUUCAAGCGCUAGUUUCAUCAAUACCAUUUAGCAUGCUUGCUUAUCAGUUUGAUUGACCUCUAUUUCUUGUAAAGUGGUUGUGGAGGGAAGCUGGGAAUAAUUACUGUGGAUACUACGUUUGCGAGUCCAUCCGCCACACGACCUGUGAGCGGGGCUACUCUAAAAAACAAUAUGAAGUGCGUAAGCAAUAAUAUUCACAAUUUUAUUUUAUUACCAUCAUUUGUGUUGAGUUUCAUUAAUUCAUAUAUAUGUAUUGACCCCCUUCUUCAAGUUAAUAGAUGUUUCAGAUGCGGGAUGAACUCCUAGCACCAGAUCGCAUGCGAGCAAUUCAAGAGGAAUUGGCGGCAUUCUUUCUUGACCACGUGAUCAAUAAAGACGGAGAAUACCAUGUGGACCCUGAGUUCCUAUAUAAUUAGGGGAUUAUAUUGUAAGAGAUCUUAUAUUGUAUAUAUGUAGCUAGUAGCGUCGGAUAGAUAUAGGAAAACUUGUUGUUCGACCAAUCUCUCGGAGAAGGAGAGGUCGAUAUCACUUCUCUCUGUAUGCAUAUGUUCAUGACGAUAUUCUGUACUUAACGGUUUCCUUCAUUUGCUUACUAGCUAGCGUGUCGAGUCAUCUCUAUACGUAUAGUACGUAGCAUCGACCAAGCACGGAGAUACGAGAGGACACUUCUCUCUAUUAAUUAGCUAGCUAACACAAUAUAUGAAACACCUAAAUUAACCCCCCAAAACCCCCUAAACCCACCCCCUUUCAAAAAAAAACCUCAGCUCCUGCCAGCUGCUGACGCGUGGAUGCCUUUUGGCCUAGUUGGUGCUACCGACCGGGACCAAAGGCCCUCCUCCUGCCUGGGCUCACCGCAGAGGCCACGUGGAGGCCCAUUUGUCCCGGUUGGUGUAAGAACCGGGACUAAAGGUAUAAGGCUUUAGUACCGAACCUUUAGUCCCGGUUCCCCAACCGGGACAAAUGGGCCUUACGAACCGGGACAAAUGGCCCUUUUUCUACUAGUGAUCCUGUGAGAGUAAUAGCCAACUUUAUUAUAUGAGUGAAUAUAUAUGAUGUCUUUAGAUGACAUCGCAAAUAUCAUUUUGAGUAUUAUUAGUCAUAGUCAUGCUCUUACAAAUCCUCGGGGCAGAGAGAAAGCAGAUGAUAGCAAUGUUAUCUGCAAGAGUUUUUCUUGGUUUCCUGUAACCUAUUUGAAUACAAGCAUGCUUGUGUUUGAAUUAAAUAGAACAUUUAUUUGAUCAACGCCCACGUCCCUUCAUUGUUGCUUAGCAAAUGCCGGUCUUCUGGACGUUCUUCAAUCCCAGCAAAAGCUCAAUGAUCCACCUGUUGAAGAUCGCCCUCCUUGUGACAGUUGAUCUCCCUAAACUUGAGGUUCAGACACAUCUUCUUCGACUCGGUCCAAUCUUGCGGAAGCUUUAAUUUAAGUUGAAAGUAUUAAUGAUCCGUGCAAGCUUAACUGUUAUUUCAAGUUGGAAGUAAGGGGAGAUAUCUAAGUACCUUGCAAUUCUGCAGAGUAAGUUUCUCGAGGUUGGGAGCAUUGUUCAGAAACAACUCUAGCAUGUUGUAUACUUCACCGGUCAAGUCGCACUCGUCCAAGAGCAAUGUAGUCAGGUUAUGAAAUUUUGGCAAAUCUUGAUGUCCUCGCUUCAUCCUAAUCUGAAACAGAGAGGAACUCAGUGUCAUAAAAAAUUGCUUUCUUCCUCCCCGUGUGUCUGUACUGCAUGAAAGAUAAGCCAAGGAAAAAGAGAAGCUCUCGUCGGCCAUAGAACGCACCUUCUCUAGCGCCAGGAAGCCGGAGAGCUCUAAUCUUGUCACGUUAUAGAGAUUGCAGAGAAGCUGGUAUUCGUCGGCCCUGCCGACCCACCGUCUCGUGGAACGGACCGAUGCCUCGACGAGCGACGGCGUCCGGAACACCCAUAUGCCCUGGAACUCGAGGACCAGACGUAGAGAAGUAAGGGCAGGAGCGUCGACGAGCGGGGGAGCACGUUGCUUCAUAUCCCCUCUCCUCCAGCAACGGUCCAUGACCAGCUUCUUCAGCGUGGGACUGGUCACCACCUCCCCAAAACCAAUGGCGCAGCUGGUGAACUCGACGUGCUCCAGCUGAGGGCACACGGAGUCGCCGAGGCCGCCGCUGUGUAGGAUCCCGGUGAGGCGCGCCGUCUUGAGGCGGCUUAGAUCGGAGCGGAAGCCCAUGAGACGCAGGUCGACGGUUAUGUCGUAACUGCUCUGGAUCUCGAGCGCGGCGGGACGGUAGCGGUCGAGGCAGCCGUGAACCCACUCCAGCCACUUGAUGUGGAGCGGCAGCCUCCUGCGGCUGGCCUGCAGAUGGUCGACGACGUGCAGGCGGAGCGAGUCCAGGUCCAGGGGCAGGCCGUCGCCGCCGUCGCGGCGGUCCAACUCCAGCAGGAGGAGGCUGUCCGCGAAGUCGUCGAACCUUGCCCACUCCUCGAGCUCCACCGAUCUGCUGCUCCUGCCGUCGUGGUCGGUCGACGCUGCUUCGAACUCCCGCUGGUCGAUGUCGAGGGACAGGCACAGAGCACCACGCCAGACGUGGCGCCACCGCCGCGACAGAGCCGUCGUCUGCAAGACCUGCCUGGCUCCCAGGGAGGAGACGAUGCCCUGGAGCAGGCAGUCCGGCAACUUGCUCAGCCUGUCCGGCGCCAUGGCAAGGCAAACCGGCCCCUUGCCCUGGGGAGUUGAUCGGAUCGGCGGACGACGAGGUUUGUUUGUAUCUUCCGAUCCGCACGCUCCACGCGGACAGGACGUUUCUGUUUACAACUUGUCAUUAGGGAUAGGGAAGUGUUAAAAAUCUGGCGUGACAAAUCGAACGCCUUGGACGGCAAAUUAUGUUGUCCUCAGGAUUUGUCAGGCUUGCUGGAGAAAAUUGAUAUCCUCGCGGCAACAUAAUUUGGUGUCACGAAUGUUCGAUUUGCCAUUUACCUAAAAAUCCGACGUUCGAUUUGCAGCGAAAUCUAACAAAAUAAUAUCUCAUAUUAUCCUAUGAAUAAGUCUAGUUUGACUUGUAUUUUCAUUUUGCAUAAAGCAUUGGAUUUAUAUUAAAAACUUAAUUCGACUCAAAUUCGAGGUAUGUAGCAUAAAGGUAUCAACUGUUCGCAUUUGAUUCUAAGACUCGUGCAAUGUAUUCCUAUAUUUGAAUCCAUUGAUGCAUCUUUUAGGAUUUGUCAAAAAUCAGAUACCUGCAAAAUUCAUAGGUGGGCACAAUUAUAAGUAAUAAUUAAUGCUCUAAAUUUUGAAACUUCAAUAUUUUGGAAAAAGAGAUUCAAAAAAUAUUUGAAAUGUUGGAUUCAAAGUUUGCACAAAGUAUGAAAUUCAGUUAAUUUUGAAAUGUAUUUCAGUUAAUUUCAAUAAUAAUUCAAUAUAUAUUUUAUAGAAGUUUCAAAUGCAUUUGUCAUGAUUCAGUAAUAUUUUAAUAUACUUUACAAUAGUUUUGAAAUUCAUUUCAAAAUUUUCAAAUGCUUUUGCGAUGCGUUUGGACCAUGACACGACACUAUUGUAAUACAUUCCGUAAUAGUUUCAAAUGCAUCUGAACAUUUUCGAGUUGAAGCUGCAUUUGAAUCUAUUGCGAAAUGUAUUGAAAUUACUUUAUCAUUACUGAAAUUAAAUGAAAUGCUUUUUAAAUUAACUGAAAAAUUACUUUGUGAAAAAUUGAACUCAGCCAGUUUUUAAGAAUCUAAUUAUAAUAUCGCCUUAAGCAGUAACUAUGGAACCCCAUAAUGGCCUAGCCACUAGCAUGACACAUUAACUAUUACAUUAUUCCAAAAAAUCCAAAAAACUAUUUUCAUUUUAAAAUGUCAUCAAAACUAAUUUUAAGAAAAACUAGGAGUAAGGGUAAAGCCAAAUCACCAGGGAAUAUCACACAACCAAUAUUUUCUUUCUGAUUUUGCAGGUCUCUUUGAUAAUACAAAAAUAUUUAUAUGAAAACAUUGCAUGUACUUUGACUAUGAAUAUUCAUAUAUUUUGAAGAAAAAGUUUCUGCAUGUGGGAAAAAAUGCACGUAUUUUUUAAGAAAAAUUGAAUCGAGUUGUUCACGCAUGUUAGAAUAUAUGUCAAUGUAAUUCUAAAAUUAUUUAUUUAUUUUCUAAAAAAGAACAAUAAAUUUGAAAAAAAACAAAAGCAAAACAGGAAAAAAGACAGCAAACGAAAGGAACACGUUACCGGCCCGGCCCACCAGUGUUUGGGCGGCGUGUCUAAGGCGGCAUAUACUAGGAUUUGCCGCCUACGCUGCUGCUCGGUCUCCGCAGGCCGCAUCCUCUUAGAUAGAGAAGAAAAGGAGAAGAGGAAAGAGCGAGAGGGCUGGAAAGAAGUAAAGGGAGACUGCGCCGAGGAGUAGGAGGAUUCAUGGAGCCCGAGGCCUCCAAGCAGGGGGAGAAGCAGCCGAUGGAGGCGGAGGCCGGAGAUCCAGCAGAUCCCCGCGACCUAGGUAACUUGCCCAAUCCCCCCGUUUUUCCGCUGUAAAUCCCCAAUCCGGCAACCCCACAUCGCUCAAAAGAACCAGGCUCCUGCAAUCUGGUGAGAUGCAGCGCAUGCUCAUGAUGUUCUAACAAGUGCUCUCAAUUAAUUGUACUGAUUUGCCAAAAAAAUUGUUUAAUUUGGUGCAGUGUCCAGCGACGAUGAGAUAGACUACUCCGUGGAGCCCGAGUUCUACGACCCCACCAUAGACGAUGUUGAUGACCGCUGGGCGCACAAGCAGAGGAAAGGACGGACUUCUGACGCCGUGCUCAGCUGCCCCGCGUGUUUCACUACCUUGUGCCUCGAUUCCCAGAGGUAAUCCACUUGAUGCUUCACAUUGGGUCUCGUCUCAGAGACUACAGGGGGGUCUUGGACUAUAAGAUGCCUUUACAUGGUUUUGACUUUUAUCAUGGUUCAAAGAAACUAUAAGGCUUUGCAGCGAUACUUUUUCCUAAUGGUAAAGGUUGCAUUUUUUACGAAAAUACUAACGCCCACCCGCGUGACAAUCUUGCAUCUCGCCCACACGCAUGGAUCAACGUCCGUUUAUGUUUGCAUGAAUCUUGGCAUGCUUUGCCAGAUUUUUUAUGCCACGUAGGACUGGGCUGGUGUGUGGGCAUUCAUCCGGUCGCCCACACGUCCGUUUUCACCACGCGGAGGGGCUGGUGUGUGGGCGUUUAGCAGUUCGCCCACACGCCAGUUUUCACGCACGCAGAGGGGCUGGUGUGUGGGCGUUUAUCAGUUCGCCCACACGUCCGUCUCCUCUCCCACACCCAAAGCUGUCAGUUGCCAUGUGUUUUGCAGGUUACAUGCCAACUGCCCUAGUGUGCUUGUAAGCAGAUGACAACUCUCUCUUUACCCGAACAUGUUAUUUUGCCAUGUCUUUUUUGUAGUGCUACAUGGCAACUGCCUAGUGUUAGUAGGUGACAACUCCUAAAGUUUUCAAAUCAUGGCAACUAUAGUAGACCAGACCAUACAUGGCAACAGCUGCAGUUGUCCAAAAAUGGCAUCUGGCACUUGACCUGAGAUGGCAACCGCAGUUGAGCAACCAUGACAACUGUAGUUGUCAGACAUGGCAACUGUAGUUCAACAACAUGGCAACUGUAGUUGUCAGACAUGGCAACUGUAGUUCAACAACAUGGCAGCUGCAGUUAAACGAACAUGGAAGAGGGUCCGGACCAUGGCAACUGUGGGGACGCGUGGUGACUGUCACGCGGGGCGUGCGGGACCUUGAGGUAGGAGGCCGGACGUACGGGCGUGUGGGCGUUAUCUAUUUUGCCCACACGUAGGUGUGUAGGAGGGACCGCGAGGCAGAAGACCGGGCGUGUGGGCAUUACUUGUUUUGCCCACACGUAGACGUGUGGACUGGUUCUCUUAGAUACCACACGAAACGUGUGUCCAGACCCCUUAACGCCCACACGUGUGGGCGUUAUCGGGACCCUUUUUUUAAAGGUGAAGACGGAGCAAGUUAUAUCUCAAUAUCUGUUAGAAGUACUAUCCCUUGUGAUUGUGCUGUGACUGCCUCUGUCAACAUUUAUAGGAUAAUGGCCUUGAUUUGAUAAAUUCAUGGAGAAGUUUAAGUGAUACUGAUUCUAUAAUCAUGUUUAGCAAAAUUGGCGUGUGUUAAUACCUUCAGGAAUAUAUGUGAGUAAGUAUUUUUCAGAGCCUCCCGCAUCUCUGCGUCAUACUGAUCAAGUAGCUGUAAGAAAUAAUGAAAUCUUGGCAUGGUUUAUUUGUCUGGGAUAAAUGUGUACAGCUCAUUGUUCCUACACAUUUCAUUUCUUAAUUUGGUUUUGCUUAUGUGAGAGGUAACCACUGUUUUAAACUAGCAUGGGGAAUCUAUCUUUGUAAGCUUAUUCUGUUUNNNNNNNNNNNNNNNNNNNNNNNNNNNNNNNNNNNNNNNNNNNNNNNNNNNNNNNNNNNNNNNNNNNNNNNNNNNNNNNNNNNNNNNNNNNNNNNNNNNNNNNNNNNNNNNNNNNNNNNNNNNNNNNNNNNNNNNNNNNNNNNNNNNNNNNNNNNNNNNNNNNNNNNNNNNNNNNNNNNNNNNNNNNNNNNNNNNNNNNNNNNNNNNNNNNNNNNNNNNNNNNNNNNNNNNNNNNNNNNNNNNNNNNNNNNNNNNNNNNNNNNNNNNNNNNNNNNNNNNNNNNACACCGUAAGCUUAUUCUGUGAUGAAAUGUUAACUGCAUCAUUCUUAAUUGUGCCUGUUCAUUUCCUCAGCUAUGAAUAUGAAAAUGUACAAUUUGUUUUUACUGAACUCUUAAUCUGGUUUGUUUGAAAAUGAAUGAGAAUCCCACAAGUGCAAUAUUCUGGAGGCCUAAUUUAGUACAAUUUGUUUGGUGUGUGUUGUGAAGUCUGAAACAUGAAAAUAUCUGAUUAAUUGUUGUAUGUUGUGAAGUCUGUGAUAUGAUUAUCUCUAUAAACAUUACGAUGUUGUUUUGCUUUGCACAAUGCUCGUAAAUAGCUUGCUUUGCACAAGAUAACACAACUAACCGUGAUAUAUACAUUUUGGCCUCCCGGCUCAGAUAUGUGCUGUGUUGUACCGAGUCCAGCAUGGUUACGUUCUUAGAGCAAGUCCUCUUGCCACCCAUCAUGUAAUUGUCUGUUUCCCAUGCCUUGUACACUUACACUAUAUCCCCGCAGAAAAAAAAAACAUGUACACCAGAUAAAGUUGUCACUGUACUGCACGGCUCCUUGAGGAUUCAAUCGAAGCUUUCACUUCAGAACCCUGAAUGCUUUAAAUAUUCUCAAUUAUCUGUCUUUCUGAUUGUUCACCUUUAUAUUGGUACUGCUGACAAUAGAUUUUACAAUGCUUAAAUUGGUAUUUUAUACGAACACCAAUACUAAAAUUGUGGAUGGUUUUGUCUGAUGUUCAGGCACGAAAAGUAUGUAAACCAGUACCGUGCAAUGUUUGUGUGCAACUGCAAGGUCAAGACUGAUCAGAUUCUACGUGAGGGGAAAGGAAAAAGGAAGAAUCGGAAAGUAACGGCUGUUGAUUCUACUACACCAGAAGUUGCAAGCAAGGGGCCAGUUUAUCACCCUGUUUGUUGUGAGAUCUGCUCAACUGAGGUUGGAGUGUUUGAUGAAGAUGAAGUUUACCACUUCUUUAAUGUCAUUCCUAGUAACUCAUGAACCUUCUGAUGUUGUGAGAAUAGUUCUCGUAGUGCUGUUUUUUGUCAAUCUAGAGCUGAUGUGGUAGUAUGUGAAUUAUUUUUUCUUUUCAUGAUAUCAAGACAAAGUUAAACCUGCCGUCCUUCAUGGAAAUUAUAUUCUGGCAUCAUGGAUUUGGAUUAUCUGAAAUAAUAGAAUUUUCAGAGGGGAAGAAACAUCCUUGCAAAAAUGGAAGCAAGUGGAUAAACAUGAAUUGCAUAUGGUAGCU
rnacentral:lncRNA from 1 species